UACGGAGGGUGCAAGCGUUGCUCGGAAUCACUGGGCGUAAAGCGACCGCAGGCGGCCUGACAAGUCGGAUGUGAAAGCCCUGGGCUCAACUCAGGAAUUGCAUUCGAAACUGGUAGGCUCGAGUACGGGAGAGGGGGGUGGAAUUCCUGGUGUAGGGGUGAAAUUCGUUGAUAUCAGGAGGAACACCGGCGGCGAAGGCGGCCCCCUGGCCCGCAACUGACGCUCAUGGUCGAAAGCGUGGGGAGCAAACCGG
rnacentral:rRNA from 1 species